rnacentral:rRNA from 1 species
UACCAGCACCCCGAGUGGUCGGGACGUUUAUUGGGCCUAAAGCAUCCGUAGCCGGUUCUACAAGUCUUCCGUUAAAUCCACCUGCUUAACAGAUGGGCUGCGGAAGAUACUAUAGAGCUAGGAGGCGGGAGAGGCAAGCGGUACUCGAUGGGUAGGGGUUAAAUCCGUUGAUCCAUUGAAGACCACCAGUGGCGAAGACGGCUUGCCAGAACGCGCUCGACGGUGAGGGAUGAAAGCUGGGGGAGCAAACCGG